AAAUGUACCGGCUCAACCGGUGAAUUGCAGCGCGAACUGUUUGGCUUGAGUGCACGGUAAGCAGGCGGAAUUCAUGGUGUAGCGGUGAAAUGCUUAGAUAUCAUGAAGAACUCCGAUUGCGAAGGCAGCUUGCUGCAGUGCGACUGACGCUGAUGCUCGAAGGUGCGGGUAUCAAACAGGAUUAGAUACCCUGGUAGUCCGCACGGUAAACGAUGGAUGCCCGCUGUCCGCCUUUUGUGGCGGGUGGCCAAGCGAAAGCGUUAAGCAUCCCACCUGGGGAGUACGCCGGCAACGGUGAAACUCAAAGGAAUUGACGGGGGCCCGCACAAGCGGAGGAACAUGUGGUUUAAUUCGAUGAUACGCGAGGAACCUUACCCGGGCUUGAACUGCCGGUGAACGAUACAGAGAUGUUGAGGCCCUUCGGGGCGCCGGUGGAGGUGCUGCAUGGUUGUCGUCAGCUCGUGCCGUGAGGUGUCGGCUUAAGUGCCAUAACGAGCGCAACCCCUUUUUUCAGUUGCCAUCAGGUAAUGCUGGGCACUCUGGAGAUACUGCCACCGCAAGGUGUGAGGAAGGUGGGGAUGACGUCAAAUCAGCACGGCCCUUACGUCCGGGGCUACACACGUGUUACAAUGGGGCAUACAGAGUGUUGGCUUAACGCAAGUUUGGUCUAAUCUUCAAAGUGUCUCCCAGUUCGGACUGGGGUCUGCAACCCGACCCCACGAAGCUGGAUUCGCUAGUAAUCGCGCAUCAGCCAUGGCGCGGUGAAUACGUUCCCGGG
rnacentral:rRNA from 1 species